rnacentral:rRNA from 1 species
UACAUGGGGUGCAAACGUUGCUCGGAAUUAUUGGGCGUAAAGCGCGCGCAGGCGGUCCUUUAAGUCUGAUGUGAAAGCCCACGGCUCAACCGUGGAGGGUCAUUGGAAACUGGGGGACUUGAGUGCAGAAGAGGAAAGCGGAAUUCCACGUGUAGCGGUGAAAUGCGUAGAGAUGUGGAGGAACACCAGUGGCGAAGGCGGCUUUCUGGUCUGUAACUGACGCUGAGGCGCGAAAGCGUGGGGAGCAAACAGG